GUCGGCAGGAGUAACCGGAAUGAGAGGGGCUUUUAAAACUCUCCUGCUUUUAAAAUUCUCUCAGAGUAAAAUUAAUUCACUGACUCUUCUCACCUCUGCAAGCUACAUUGAUGACAAAGAGAUGAUCAGUUUCAGUGAGAAGAGACUUCAGAAUAGGAAUGCUAUGAAGUAAUCACAUUAUAUUUUGGGAGCCUGAUAUACUGCUACCGGUGGCAUUCAGGCUACAGGCUGAGCUCAUGCAGUGGAUGCUUCAUCUGAGACAAAUAGCUCUUACAACUCUGAAAGAGGAAGAGAACUAGUACAACAGCCAAGAGUACAGACUGGAGGAGAGCAACCACCAGUGGGACAAGGCUUAUUUAACCUGAGUAUACAUCCAUCACACCACUCUCUCCUAAUGAGGUUUCUAUACAGCACUGAGCAAAAUAUCAAGUUGUUUUUCUUGGAAGCUAAUUUCUCAUCUUUCUCGCCUUCCCCAGCACCUUACUAACUUUUUCAAUACAUCAAAAUUCAGAUAGUUACAGUUACUGUGAAAAUGUGUCCCUUAGGAGUGAUAGGAACCAACAAAGUCAGGGACUUCCAGUCUGCUUCUUUUUGAAACUUACAGAGAUUUAGCAUAGGGUAUAAAGAGAGAGAGAAAAGUACAUCCAGCACCAAAAUAUGAAGACAGACAGUUAUCUUUUAAAAUGUAGUCAAAGGCACUAAUCCUAUUUUCUGCACUUUGUGUAAUCACCACGAACUAAAUGGAUAUUAGAGCACUUUCCUAACAGACACAAAUGUGGGAAAUAGCCACAGAAACCCAUUUCUUCCCAGCCAUUGUGAAUACUGAAAAGCAAAGAAAAAUAAUAAACAAACAAACAAACAAAAAACAAUGGUUUAAAUCCUAUUAGGACAAAAAUCCCUAUACAUUCCAGUCCAAGAUUAAUUUUUCCCACAAGGGCAUAUAGUACAUAAUGUUAACCACAUUUUCAAAAGAAAAAGGAAAGACAUCUUGAAGAAAAAAAGAGAAAAGUUCUGAGUCCUCAAAGCCAUUAAAUAUAUGCUUAACUUUAAGUACGCAUGUAAUAUUGAGCAGAGUAGAAACACAAAGUAUAGAUUUGAUUUUAAUCAUCUGUUGAUUAAGCUCUGUGCUGAUUGGGAGAGUUCUGCAGUAUGCAGAAGUGUGGAAAAGAAAAGCAUGUUAAAGGGUUAGCUGUUUAAAGGGCCAGGUUAAACAAGAUGUAAUUAUGGCUUCACUUAGUCUUUUUAUUCUGCUUCAAAGCUUGUGUGUGUGGGAAGGGCUUUGGCAGGUAGGAGCUAGCAUUGGUGUCUCAUUUUGCUUGUCUUUUUUUCAAUGACCAACCCUUUUCUAAUAUGCCUAAUUCUUUGAGAUAACAGAGGACAAAAUCUGCAUAUUAACUUUAAAGAAGCCCCACUGAAACCUCUUUAUAAGGAUGAGCCUUUAUUUUAAUACUUUGGAUUUUAUUGCUGGUGUAAAAUCUUUAAACUCACAGAGAGCAAGCUUUAAGGCAUUGUAAGAAAAGAAAAAGGCCCAGGACCACGUACUCUCUGAAUCCUUUAUCUUAAUAUCUAAUAAUAAACCCACGGGUAAUAACAUGGCCUAUGAAACCUUCUAGCUAGGUGCUUAAUUAAAAAACAAGAUCAAAGGUCAUUGCUUCAUUUAGAAUACAAAUCUCUCCCUUUGAAACUGUAAGGGAGGGGGCAGUGUUCAAUAGCUUGAAAUACAAUGCCUUGGUUCAUUGGUCCCAUGCUAACCCUACUGCAAGGUCAUCAUAACUGGAAUGCAGCAAGUAUGUCAGCCCCCUCUCUAAUGCCUUUUUAAGGAUGGCAUCGUGCAUUUGUACUUUCUGAACCUAGUCUCAUAGGCUGCAUACAGAAACCAGCUGGAGGAAGGGCUGCAAGAUCAAGCAGUGAAAAAGAAAGAAAAAAUAAAUAAAAUAAAUAAAACAAAACAAAACAAACAACAACAACAAAGCACAGAACAAGACACCUUCAGAAAUUAUUGGAGCAUAUAUGUGUUGUACUUCUGCUCAUCUCCAGCAGGCCCAGGACAAGUUGGAGAACUUACAUAUAUUGAUCUGUGUGCACCAGGUUUAUAUCUUAUGUAUUUGAGAUGUAUUGCAGUUGUGGUGCAUGAACAGGUCACCCACAAGGUGAGUCCAUCACUUCCUAGACGGUGUGAAACCAACAGGUUGAACUGCCUCACCAGCAGUUGACAAGACAAGAAUAAGCUGUAUGAACUAGUUAGAAGCUUGCCAGGUGGCAGACUUUACACUAUGGUAGCCAUCUGACAGAUGGGAAAAUGCAUCAGAGACAGAACGAUUCCACCACAUGGAACAUUUUCCAAGCAAGCAUGGGAAAUGAAUUCAUGUACUCUGAAUCCCACUUGAAUGCUUUAACUACAAGACCAUUCUUCAACUUAAAAAGAAGACCAUGUUGGGAGAAUAUAGUAUGGAAAGUGCAAAGAUAUAAAUAAUAAAAAAAAAAAUAAUACGAAUACUAUUCAAUUUUGUCAAGACUCACACAAAAAAUUUUGAAGGAAUUUAAGUCCACCUUUUUCUCACUGGAAUACCUGAAUUUCAGGAAACAGAUUCUGAAAUAGUUCACAGAAUGAAAUUUCCAAAUCUGGUCUAAAACUGAAAGUACGUAUAAAAAGGCGUCUUAUUACAGGUCUGAGAGGCAGUAUUUCUCAUAGUUAUAAGGAACAGAGAAGCAUUCACAGCACAAGCCAUUCUUUUCAUGACUGAAAUAGAAGCCAACAUGACCCUUAGGUUAUCAAGUAUUCAACAGUACUUUUUUAGAGGAAUGUUCUUUUUCUGAAAGCAUCAUCUGCUACUAGGGUUGCUAAAUACUACCAUAAGUCUUUUCUAUUUGCAUGUGAGUUGUUAAAUCCUAAUAACAUAAACUGAAAUGUUAUAUGCCCCCAAGACUGCCUCCAGACAAAGUUUUUUGGAAUAUUUUACCUCUAAGAGCAUGGCAUUUCUCAGAACGAGGCUAGCUUUCAUGUGUGUUAGAAAUGCUGGUGACCUCUUCUUUCAUAAACUCUCGUCCUUAGAGAAGGCACUUGAAAUUUGGCAGGAAAGUGAGAAACUGAAGAUUCACAGCUGCAAUGGACAUUAACAGAAGCAGAACUCUUAACAUGUAAAAUACUGUAUCACAUUACAUGCUUGAAAAGAAACACAGAAUUAUCCUCUCUUUUACUUUUCCUCUAUGCACCUUUGUUUGCCAAUUGCAAAAUGCAGGUGACACUACUUAUCUUUCAAAAGCAUUUUGAAAAUAAAGAAAAGUUUGUGAAAAGCUAGAACUCUAUACAAAUUAACUCCAAUGGGGAAAAAAUAAUUAAUCUGUUUGUAGAAGAGUUUGAAAAAUGGAAAAAUUUACAGCAAAAAAGGUAGGAACCGCUACAGAGAACAAAGAUUAAAAAGUAUUGAAUAAUUACUGCCUAAACAAGCUUCCUCCUCUCUGCGUACUGAGGCAUAGGUUUAGGAAAGAAGGCACAAUGUAUGGAAAUACUGGUAUGUAAUGAGGACAUGAUAAAGAUGUGUCAUCAUAGUUCUUAACAUAUGAGCUGGUGAGGGGCCUGGAGAACAAGUCCUACGAGGAGCGGCUGAGGGAGCUGGGCUUGUUCAGCCUGGAGAAGAGGAGGCUCAGGGGCGACCUUAUCGCUCUCUACAGGUACCUCGAAGGAGGCUG